rnacentral:rRNA from 1 species
AGCGUAGACGGUGUGGCAAGUCUGAUGUGAAAGGCAUGGGCUCAACCUGUGGACUGCAUUGGAAACUGUCAUACUUGAGUGCCGGAGGGGUAAGCGGAAUUCCUAGUGUAGCGGUGAAAUGCGUAGAUAUCGGGAGGAACACCAGUGGCGAAGGCGGCCUACUGGGCACCAACUGACGCUGAGGCUCGAAAGUGUGGGUAGCAAACA